rnacentral:rRNA from 1 species
UACGGGGGGGCAAGCGUUGUUCGGAAUUACUGGGCGUAAAGGGCUCGUAGGUGGCCAACUAAGUCAUACGUGAAAUCCCUCGGCUUAACCGGGGAACUGCGUCUGAUACUGGAUGGCUUGAGGUUGGGAGAGGGAUGCGGAAUUCCAGGUGUAGCGGUGAGAUGCGUAGAUAUCUGGAGGAACACCGGUGGCGAAGGCGGCAUCCUGGACCGACACUGACACUGAGGAGCGAAAGCCAGGGGAGCAAACGGG